rnacentral:tRNA from 1 species
GCCCAGGUGGUGGAACUGGCAGACACGCACGUUUGAGGGGCGUGUGGCGCAAGCCAUGCGGGUUCGAGUCCCGCCCUGGGCAC